GGAGAUAUUAGAGAACAGUGGAGAGAAGAAAAUUGAUGAAAUUCGCCACAGCUGGCUGGGAGUGAACCUGGAUGCUCCCGAGGACCCCCCAGGAAAGGAAACACCUGUCGUGUGUAUCAGAAGACCCCGUACAGCCUCACACACAGGCACCGGCCUCUUGACAACUUCCCCAGGUGACUCCUAGAACUCAGCGACCAUGUCCAGCUCAGAGAUCAGAAGCAGCACGUCCCAGAGCGAUACCGUAAUGAUGGGCCCACAAUACAACCGGCUGCCUUGGUCUUUGCCAUGUUGACAGUCCACUCCAGCUUCCCAAGGUAGGACAACUGGGGACAUGCCCUGGGAGC